rnacentral:rRNA from 1 species
CCUACGGGAGGCAGCAGUGAGGAAUAUUGGUCAAUGGACGAGAGUCUGAACCAGCCAAGUAGCGUGAAGGAUGACUGCCCUAUGGGUUGUAAACUUCUUUUAUAUGGGAAUAAAACGUUCCACGUGUGGGUUUUUGUAUGUACCAUAUGAAUAAGGAUCGGCUAACUCCGUGCCAGCAGCCGCGGUAAUACGGAGGAUCCGAUCGUUAUCCGGAUUUAUUGGGUUUAAAGGGAGCGUAGGUGGAUGGUUAAGGAAGUUGUGAAAGUUUGCGGCUCAACCGUAAAAUUGCAGUUGAAACUGGGAGUCUUGAGUGCAGUAGAGGUAGGCGGAAUUCGUGGUGUAGCGGUGAAAUGCUUAGAUAUCACGAAGAACUCCGAUUGCGAAGGCAGUUCACUGUACUGCAACUGACACUGAGGCUCGAAAGUGUGGGUAUCAAACAGGAUUAGAUACCCCAGUAGUC